AUGCUUGGAACUUUGGACCCAAAUCAGAAGCAGAAGUGGAGUCAGAAAAUCAGUCAUUUGGUGCACGCCUACAAUUGCACCCAAAAUGAGGCAACUGGUUACUCACCUUAUCUGUUAAUGUUUGGGAGAGAAGCACGUCUACCAGUGGACAUCUGUUUUGGAGUAGCAGAGGAGAAAGAGAAGGAUGUGACAUACCAGCAGUAUGUUACUAAGUUGAAAGCAGAUCUUCAGAAAGCUUACCAACUUGCAACAGAAGCUGCUGACAAGAAUCACCAGAGAAACAAAAGAGCACAUGACAAACUGGUGAAAGAACAAGUGUUAGAAGAAGGAGACCGUGUACUGCUGCGAAACUUCGGUGUCACUGGAAAGCACAAGCUUAAGGAUAAAUGGAGGUCGAUGCCAUACAUCAUAGUUGGAAAGAUGCCAAACCUUCCUGUCUACCAAGUGAAGCCAGAAAGAGGAACUAGAGCUGCAAAAACAGUGCACCGUAAUCACCUCUUACCCAUUGGCUAUCUAGUGAGAAUGCCUGCAGAUGAUGAUGAGCCAGAAGUAUCACAGAGGCCUGUGACCAGAACACAUCACAGACAGGUCCAAGGUCCAACACAGAUUGACAAUAAUGGAGAAGGUCCACUCUCUUCAGAGUCGGAUUCUGAGGAUGAAGACCCACCAAGACCACUGGUUGUAGAUUGGGAAACUCUGUUAUCACAGCCAGAGUUUGUUCCAAGCCAACCAAGUCAAGAGCCAGAUGAAGUUCAAGUUGCUUCACCAGCCAGAGAUCUGGUGGAAGUUGAACAAGGAAGAAAGACAGCUGAUGUUCCAGAUGCUGAUCUGCCUCCUAUCACUGACCUGGAUGAGGACAGAGAUUUAGAAGGGGGAGCAGAAGUACCUGAGGAUGAUAUAGCUGAAGAGGAUGAGUUUCCAGUGGAAUGCUCAAAGCGAGUGAAGAAACCAGUGAUCAGACUAAGUUAUGAUGAGCUGGGAAAACCUUCUAACCAGCCAUUGACUGUACUGAGUCAUGGUGUGCUGGUUGGAAGCAGCAUCUACAGAGAUUCAAGAUGUAACCCAUGCCAAACAACUUGGUGUCACCCUAUGGCCUUAUGUUCUUAUUGUAGUUUAAAUCCCUCUAGUAAGCCCCAACAGAUUCAGGUUAUCUAA
rnacentral:lncRNA from 15 species